rnacentral:rRNA from 1 species
AGGAUGAACGCUGGCGGUCUGCUUAACACAUGCAAGUCGAACGGGCUCUUCGGAGCUAGUGGCGGACGGGUGAGUAACGCGUGAGAAUCUGCCUUCAGGAGGGGGAUAACGACUGGAAACGGUCGCUAAUACCCCAUAUGCCUCCGGGUGAAAAGUAAUUCGCCUGAAGAUGAGCUCGCGUCAGAUUAGCUAGUUGGUGGGGUAAGAGCCUACCAAGGCGACGAUCUGUAGCUGGUCUGAGAGGAUGAUCAGCCACACUGGGACUGAGACACGGCCCAGACUCCUACGGGAGGCAGCAGUGGGGAAUUUUCCGCAAUGGGCGCAAGCCUGACGGAGCAAGACCGCGUGGGGGAUGACGGCCUAAUGGUUGUAAACCCCUUUUCUCUGGGAAGAAGACUGACGGUACCAGAGGAAUCAGCCUCGGCUAACUCCGUGCCAGCAGCCGCGGUAAUACGGAGGAGGCAAGCGUUAUCCGGAAUUAUUGGGCGUAAAGCGUCCGUAGGUGGUUAUUCAAGUCUGCUGUCAAAGCGUGGGGCUUAACUCCAUAGAGGCAGUGGAAACUGAGUGACUAGAGUGCGGUAGGGGUCGAGGGAAUUCCCAGUGUAAGCGGUGAAAUGCGUAGAUAUUGGGAAGAACACCAGUGGCGAAAGCGCUCGACUGGGCCUGCACUGACACUGAGGGACGAAAGCUAGGGGAGCGAAAGGGGAUUAGAUACCCCUGUAGUCCUAGCCGUAAACGAUGGAUACUAGGUGUUGCUCGUCAUCGACCCGAGCAGUGGCGUAGCCAACACGUUAAGUAUCCCGCCUGGGGAGUACGCU